rnacentral:tRNA from 1 species
GGGCUCGUGGGAUACCUGGUCGGGAUUCAACCUUGAGGUGGUUGUGCCCAAAAGGCGUGAAGGUUCGAGUCCUUUCGAGCGCACCA